rnacentral:lncRNA from 1 species
AUGGAUCUGAGAACGCUGUCUGGGCUUGGUGCCAAGUGCUGGUAUUUCACAGCAGCGACCGCCUCACAGACGGGCUGUGGGAAGCAGGAGGGAGACUCUCUUAGGGUGCCACUACUAUGGAGACACAGCUGGGCUGAACAAGAUUUGCUUCAAACGACAACAAGAGAGACAGAAAGUAUCUGGUUCAACCGCUGCCCAGGCAGGCAGGCACCAGAAGAGCUAGCAGCCAAUCCGGCCAUGCUCGAAGCCAGCUCUGCAGCUCAGCCAAUCAGUGACAUCACUGAUCUUUUGGAAUAUUACUGGGAUAACUGUCCAAAUGAAGUUCCAAGUACUCUAUACAAAUGCAGCAGACAGGAAUUCAAAUGCUAA